AAUAAAUCAUAAAUGAAUGUAAAACAAAGAGAUGUAAUUAAAGAAGAGUUUACUAGAUUGUAUAGGUUUUGUUUAUAAAUCUUGGACAUCCAGAUUUUAUUGAUUGUAUGUAUGUACAAAUGUAGGAAAAAGAUUUAAGUACAUUUCUGUACCAUGAAGUAUGCUUUGUAUGACCGUCCAUUUGUAUUUCUUCCUGUGUCAGGAACUAUCCAUCAAUGUGUUGUUUAGGGAGAAUAUGUUGACUGUGUCAACUGUCUAUUUGUUUAUUAUUUAUUUAUUUGUUCUUUGUUAUUUGUAAACUAAUUGAUAGAAUUAUUGAUUACUUGUAAUUUGAGAGGUUUAACAGGAAAAGAAUUCAGAUAACCAAUGCAAUAGGUCAUUGAGAAACAGGGACAGUUAUUAUAGGAAAAUAUUGUAUUCUGAGACUACAUGCAUGUCUGCUCAAUGCUUACUGUGAACCUUCUUAUUAUUAAUUAUCAGAUUCUUCUUGAGAGCUAAGGAAAAUUUCUGGUUAUUUUUAUAUACGUAUACACGUCCUUUAGGAAUUUUUUCCAAUCUGUGAUGAGACUUAUUUUGAAGAGCAAAAUCAAUAGGCAACUUUUCUAAAGAAUCAAAAUGAGAACCUGUAUUUUGAGGACCAAAAAUAUGUAUUUUUUUUAAACUUUGUAAAAAAAAAAUCAUUAUUUUUUACAAGGUUUAAGAAAUAUUGAUUUCAAGAAGAAUGUAUACUGUACAUGUAGAUCUAAAAAAGUGCUACCAAUGUGUCCCCAUUUUAUUUCAUUUUUGAAUAUUUAUUGAAUAUGUUACUUAAAUCAUGCCCCUGGACCGUAAGCCAACAACAAACAGUUCUUAAAUAAUUUGAUUUUUUUCUACAUUUAAAUCAUUUUUAGCUUACUGUAUAUACUAUCAUUAAAUUUCCAAAUUAAAAAAAAUCUUCUUCGAAUAGCCUAAAUUCCUAUUCCCACAUAUUUACAGAUUUUUUUGGUAAAAUUCAACGUGGGGGGGGGGUUAAGCCAUUUUACAAACCAAAGUGUAGCCAUGCAUUGCCUGAAUUUUUACCGAAAGUGAUAAAGAUUUUUUAUUUUGUAUUUGAUAUCCACAGGUUUCUCAUGAUAAUAUUACAGGAAUUGGAAAGUUUGUUGGUGCCAUUACAAACAUAAAUAUUUUUCAUUCAAAAUGUUUAGAAACAAUAAAUAGUCUAGCUAGUGUAUUUGGGAUACCAGAGAUAACUUUUGUAUAUUUAUGUUGAGAUACGUUUGAUGAUAACAUAAAAGAGUUUUCUUCUAUUAUGUGUGUGUGUGUUUGUGUUUUAUAUGCUCUAUGAAUCCAAUUGAUUAUUUUACUUUUUUCCUAAAAUAGGUUGUUUUUUAAGGAUUACAUAUUUAUGGUUACUUUUCUAUGCUGUUUUUAUAUCUUUGUAUUUAUUAAAUUUGAUUUGUGAUUAUGUUAAAGCAAUUAGUAAUGGCCAAGAAAUCCACCCCUAGAUUUAGAAAUUGAAAGUUGUUUUAUCAAAAAAAAGUAUUGUUUUUUGUUGGUUGCAAUUGGAGCACUGGUACCUUCAUGACAAAUAAGAAUUAAAAUAAUCUUGCUGAGAUACAUUAAAUAUAAUUUUAUAUUUUAUAAUUUAAUGUGAACUACAAAAUUCUGAAGAUUAAUUAAAUCAACUGUUUUAAACUUAUUAUGGUUGUUGGAUAAUCAAUGUAGUCAUUUGGUGUAAUGAUUCACAUGAUUCAAGAAUGAUGGACUUAAGGUGGUACCCAACACUUUCACUAAAAUUAAUUUAGCUCGUUUAAUUUUCAUUAAAUUUUGACAAAGUAUUUACUUUGACAAUUUAACAAAAAUAUAAAAAUUUCAAAAGUUUUGAACCAACCAUUUUAUCAGAAAAAUUACACUGGUUAUAUAGCAGUUUGACAAACAUUAAUUUUGAUCAUUGAGAAGCUUCAUGUUCUCUUCACAACACAACAUAAUUUAAACGUUUAGCUGAUUUUACAGAGUUAUCUCCCUGUAGUGUUAGGUACCACCUUAAAGACCAAACAAAAUAUUUAUUUGAGUACUGGUAUUUUAAAAUAGUGACAAAUAAAAUUAAGGCUACAAGUACAGUUGUAUAACAGUUUUCAGUGGCAGACCCAGCCAUUUUAAAAAGGGGGGGUUCCAGCUAUAUGUCCCCAUUCAAAUGCAUUGAUCGACCAAAACAAAGGGGGAGUUCCAACACCUGGAACCCCCCCUCUGGAUGUGCCAAUGAUUUUGCCUUCCUGUAAUAACAAAUUUUAUGUUAGAUGUUUGAAAAGAACUUGCCAUUCACCUUAACUGUUUCUUUUUCAUCGUAGAAUAUAUUAAUUUUGGGUAAAGAUUGCAUGAAAUGCAAUCAAAACCCUAUGGUACUGACUUGAUAUCAAAAUCUUUUAAGAUGUAUCACUACCUUUGAGAUACACAAAAUAUAGUGCAUUGAUCAUAUCAUUCUAGACAUUCUAUCCAUAAACAUUUCCAGAAAUUUAUCAAUAUGCUAAGAUAUUCAAGUCACAAAAUAAUGCUAUACUUGUCAAGAAAAUUAGUACAUUAAUUUUGCAAGGUGCAGGAAUAUACAGUUAACUCUCGUUGUCUCGAACUCGGUUGACUCGAAAUUUCGGAUGAGUCGAAGUUUUCACGUGGUCCCGAACUUUAUUCCAUACAAAAGUAUGUAAUUCGACUCCUGAUGAGUCGAAAUUGGAUGAGUCGAAAUUUCGGUUGAGUCGAACUAAAUUUACGGUCCCAAGGUUAACAAAAGCAUACAAAAUUCAUUUUUUAUCUCGAACUAAUACACAUAUGUCAAAACAUGACCUCCGGGAUUUAAAUGGAUUGAAGAGUUAAUCUGACAUGCAAUACACGUGUAAUUAAAUUUCCGGUCACUGACCACCGUAUUGAUUUAUGACGUGCUAUUUCCAUGAGUGUUUACCUAAGAUUAUCUUUUAUAGAAUUUUUAUAAAUAAUUAGUGAUACAUUGUUAAUGUUCAUGAAAAAGUAUGAAAAAGUAUUUAAAUUGUUUACAAAACAAUUAGAUUGUGAUUUACACUAAUGAGCUUGGGUGUGUAUAAAGUUAGGAUUAUGGCUUCCGUUGAUGAUCACCUAAAAACUACUCAAACGGCGUCUUUAAUCUUGUUAUAUAUUCUUUUGAAAAGAAAAAGUGUCAGCUAUUAGCGACCUGAAUUACGAAACUAUCGAUUGGAAAUUACCCUCUUGGAAAAGCCAUAGGAUUUUUUUUUUUUAAUUGAAACAAUUGAAUAAGUAAAAUAAGUAAAAAUAAAAGUCAUUAUAAUAAUAAAAGACUGUGACAUACAAAUACAUCGAUCUGAUACUAGAAUAUCGAUCCCCUUGCCAUAUUCACCCGGAUUUAUUUUAGCUUUACCAAGCUAAGCAAGAGUUGUGUCCCUUAGAUUGUCGAACUUCCGGUGUUAGUUUGAGUCGAACUACGUGUAUCUCGAAAUAUUUCUCUGGUCCGGCUGACUUCGACAUAACGAGAGUCGACUGUAGUAUCGGUUCUAAGAAUAUCAAUGAUGUCAUAGUGAAGUCAUCUUUAAAAAUUAGAGUUGUCUUCCUUUGUCCAGAAUUGUGCUUACACUUUGAUUUAACUUACAGCUGAUUUCAUUUAGUGUGUAGGGAAAGGUAGAAUCCUUGGUUAGCUAGCUUGUUAGCUGAAUCGUGAAGUCAUUAUUAGGUUAGGUAAACUACCCUCCGGUCCUUUGAUAGUAGACUAGUCCGACAUAUAACAAAUCGAUCUGUCUGUAAGACUGGACUACUUUUAAAGGAGGGUAGUAUAUACCUUACCUUAUAAUUACUUCAUGGUUCAGCUAACAAGCAAGCUAACCAAGGACUCUACCUUUCCCUACACACUCAAUGCAAACGGCUGUAAGUAUCAAAUUACUGUAUUAAAUGAACUAGUCCCAAGAAUUCGAAGAAAUGGAAUUUCAGUAAAUUUUUUAAAUGUUGUUUGCUAUUUUGUUAGUGUAGAAUUAGAUAAGUUUAUUAUCAUUAUUUGAUUGAAUCUUGCCGUUUUAUAUUGUGAUACACAAAAAAUUGUAAAUAUGCAACA
rnacentral:lncRNA from 1 species